AACGAACGCUGGCGGCAUGCCUAACACAUGCAAGUCGAACGAGACCUUCGGGUCUAGUGGCGCACGGGUGCGUAACGCGUGGGGACCUGCCCUUAGGUUCGGAAUAACUCCCCGAAAGGGGUGCUAAUACCGGAUAAUGUCUUCGGACCAAAGAUUUAUCGCCUUUGGAUGGGCCCGCGUUGGAUUAGCUAGUUGGUAGGGUAAAAGCCUACCAAGGCGACGAUCCAUAGCUGGUCUGAGAGGAUGAUCAGCCACACUGGGACUGAGACACGGCCCAGACUCCUACGGGAGGCAGCAGUGGGGAAUAUUGGACAAUGGGCGAAAGCCUGAUCCAGCAAUGCCGCGUGAGUGAUGAAGGCCUUAGGGUUGUAAAGCUCUUUUACCCGGGAUGAUAAUGACAGUACCGAGAGAAUAAGCUCCGGCUAACUCCGUG
rnacentral:rRNA from 1 species